ensembl:miRNA eca-mir-9074 eca-mir-9074
ACUGCUACGCCAUUGGGCUGCCCUCAUUUUGUUUUAAUUGUGACUAAUAGGAAAUUUUAAGUGACACCCUGGCUGCAUUUAGUUUCUGUUGGACAACUCUGGGCAAAGGGGCAGCAUCACUGGUGUCGGUGACAUGGAGAGAGGC